AUCCAGGUGACGAGUCCUAAAUAGGACGAAAUGCGCUUUAUCCUGGAU
rnacentral:hammerhead_ribozyme from 1 species